rnacentral:rRNA from 1 species
AGCGAACGCUGGCGGCAGGCCUAACACAUGCAAGUCGAACGAACCUUUCGGGGUUAGUGGCGGACGGGUGAGUAACACGUGGGAACGUGCCUUUAGGUUCGGAAUAACUCAGGGAAACUUGUGCUAAUACCGAAUGUGCCCUUCGGGGGAAAGAUUUAUCGCCUUUAGAGCGGCCCGCGUCUGAUUAGCUAGUUGGUUGAGGUAAUGGCUCACCAAGGCGACGAUCAGUAGCUGGUCUGAGAGGAUGAUCAGCCACAUUGGGACUGAGACACGGCCCAAACUCCUACGGGAGGCAGCAGUGGGGAAUAUUGCACAAUGGGCGAAAGCCUGAUGCAGCGACGCCGCGUGAGGGAUGACGGCCUUCGGGUUGUAAACCUCUUUCAGCAGAGAAGAAGCGAAAGUGACGGUACCUGCAGAAGAAGCACCGGCUAACUACGUG